rnacentral:rRNA from 1 species
AAACCAACAGGGAUUGCCUUAGUAGCGGCGAGUGAAGCGGCAAAAGCUCAAAUUUGAAAUCUGGUACUUUCAGUAUCCGAGUUGUAAUUUGUAGAAGCAACUUUGGUGAUGGUCUUUGCAUAAGUUCCUUGGAAUAGGACGUCAUAGAGGGUGAGAAUCCCGUUUAUGGUGAAGAACCCACACUAUGUAAAGUGCUUUCGAAGAGUCGAGUUGUUUGGGAAUGCAGCUCAAAGUGGGUGGUAAAUUCCAUCUAAAGCUAAAUAUUGGCGAGAGACCGAUAGCGAACAAGUACUGUGAAGGAAGAUGAAAAGAACUUUGAAAAGAGAGUGAAAAAGUACGUGAAAUUGUUGAAAGGGAAGGGAUCUAAAUCAGACAUGGUAUUUGUGAUCAACAGUCUUUCGGGACUGUGCACUCGCAUUUUACUAGGCCAGCAUCGGUUAGAAGGGGGUAAAAAGAUUUGGAAUGUGGCUCCUCGGAGUGUUAUAGCCAAGGUUAAUUGCCCCAUUUCUGACCGAGGACCGCGUUU